CUACUCAAGAUUUUAAUCCUGUCGGCUCAUACCUAACACGUUCUGCCCUAGCAUAAUCCGGUAAAAGACCUACCACACAAAAAUUAUCAAUUGGCUUGAAAGAAAAGGAUAGGCUGUGGGUAUGGCAAACUGAUCAAAAGAAAGAUCAGCUACUUGGAUCAACAAGAGUGGUGAAAGGAGGAAGAUGAUCCAAAUAUGUAUAUGAUGACCAUGAGCAUGCAAGUAAAACACAACCAGAUAUUUCCAAGUCAAGAUUAAGUUCUUAUAAGGUAAGGAAUGAGAUCAUAUCACAACAUGUUUCACCCAAGUUCAAGAAUGCUCUUCAUGAAUUCCAAGUUUGUUUCAGACUUACUUCAAGUUCAAUUAUCAUGCAUCAAAGAGCUAAAAACCAUGGCACUGAUCUCAACUAGUGAAUCAUAGCAAGUUAACAAGGUGUAAAUCAUCAUCGCCCCCUAUG
rnacentral:lncRNA from 1 species